ACGGGUGAGUAAUGCCUGGGAAAUUGCCCUGAUGUGGGGGAUAACCAUUGGAAACGAUGGCUAAUACCGCAUAAUAGCUUCGGCUCAAAGAGGGGGACCUUCGGGCCUCUCGCGUCAGGAUAUGCCCAGGUGGGAUUAGCUAGUUGGUGAGGUAAGGGCUCACCAAGGCAACGAUCCCUAGCUGGUCUGAGAGGAUGAUCAGCCACACUGGAACUGAGACACGGUCCAGACUCCUACGGGAGGCAGCAGUGGGGAAUAUUGCACAAUGGGCGCAAGCCUGAUGCAGCCAUGCCGCGUGUAUGAAGAAGGCCUUCGGGUUGUAAAGUACUUUCAGCAGUGAGGAAGGUUCAUACGUUAAUAGCGUAUGGAUUUGACGUUAGCUGCAGAAGAAGCACCGGCUAACUCCGUGCCAGCAGCCGCGGUAAUACGGAGGGUGCGAGCGUUAAUCGGAAUUACUGGGCGUAAAGCGCAUGCAGGUGGUUUGUUAAGUCAGAUGUGAAAGCCCGGGGCUCAACCUCGGAAUUGCAUUUGAAACUGGCAGACUAGAGUACUGUAGAGGG
rnacentral:rRNA from 1 species